rnacentral:rRNA from 1 species
GACGAACGCUGGCGGCGUGCUUAACACAUGCAAGUCGAACGGAAAGGCCCUGCUUUUGUGGGGUGCUCGAGUGGCGAACGGGUGAGUAACACGUGAGUAACCUGCCCUUGACUUUGGGAUAACUUCAGGAGACUGGGGCUAAUACCGGAUAGGAGCUCCUGCUGCAUGGUGGGGGUUGGAAAGUUUCGGCGGUUGGGGAUGGACUCGCGGCUUAUCAGCUUGUUGGUGGGGUAGUGGCUUACCAAGGCUUUGACGGGUAGCCGGCCUGAGAGGGUGACCGGCCACAUUGGGACUGAGAUACGACCCAGACUCCUACGGGAGGCAGCAGUGGGGAAUAUUGCACAAUGGGCGGAAGCCUGAUGCAGCAACGCCGCGUGCGGGAUGACGGCCUUCGGGUUGUAAACCGCUUUCGCCUGUGACGAAGCGUGAGUGACGGUAAUGGGUAAAGAAGCACCGGCUAACUACGUG